CAGAGGGAGUGGGAGUGCAGGAUAAAUGGUAGAGGGAGUGGGAGUGCAGGAUAAAUGGCAGAGGGAGUGGGAGUGCAGGAUAAAUGGCAGAGGGAGUGGGAGUGCAGGAUAAAUGGUACAGGGAGUAGGAGUGCAGGAUAAAUGGUAGAGGGAGUGCAGGAUAAAUGGCAGAGGGAGUGGGAGUGCAGGAUAAAUGAUAGAGGGAGUGGGAGUGCAAGAUAAAUGGCAGAGGGAGUGGGAGUGCAAGAUAAAUGGCAGAGGGAGUGGGAGUGCAGGAUAAAUGGUAGAGGGAGUAGGAGUGCAGGAUAAAUGGUAGAGGGAGUGGGAGUGCAGGAUAAAUGGCAGGAGAGGGGUGGGGAGUGCAGGAUAAAUGGUAGAGGUGGGAGUGCAGGAUAAAUGGCAGGGGAGUGGGAGGUGCAGGAUAAAUGGCAGAGGGAGUGG